rnacentral:rRNA from 1 species
CGAGGGGCAGCGAGUAGAUUGCUUGCAAUCUACGUCGGCGACCGGCGCACGGGUGCGUAACGCGUAUGCAACCUACCCAUUACAGGGGGAUAACACUGAGAAAUCGGUACUAAUACCCCAUAACAUCCAGGGAGGCAUCUUCUUGGGUUGAAAACUCCGGUGGUAAUGGAUGGGCAUGCGUUGUAUUAGUUAGUUGGUGGGGUAACGGCUCACCAAGACGACGAUACAUAGGGGGACUGAGAGGUUAACCCCCCACAUUGGUACUGAGACACGGACCAAACUCCUACGGGAGGCAGCAGUGAGGAAUAUUGGUCAAUGGACGCAAGUCUGAACCAGCCAUGCCGCGUGCAGGAAGACGGCUCUAUGAGUUGUAAACUGCUUUUGUACGAGGGUAAACGCAGAUACGUGUAUCUGUCUGAAAGUAUCGUACGAAUAAGGAUCGGCUAACUCCGUGCCAGCAGCCGCGGUAAUACGGAGGAUUCAAGCGUUAUCCGGAUUUAUUGGGUUUAAAGGGUGCGUAGGCGGUCGGAUAAGUUAGAGGUGAAAUCCCGGGGCUCAACUUCGGAAUUGCCUCUGAUACUGUUCGGCUAGAGAGUAGUUGCGGUAGGCGGAAUGUAUGGUGUAGCGGUGAAAUGCUUAGAGAUCAUACAGAACACCGAUUGCGAAGGCAGCUUACCAAGCUACUUCUGACGUUGAGGCACGAAAGCGUGGGGAGCAAACAGGAUUAGAUACCCUGGUAGUCCACGCAGUAAACGAUGAUAACUCGUUGUC